AAUGAACGCUGGCGGCAUGCCUAACACAUGCAAGUCGAACGAAGGCUUCGGCCUUAGUGGCGCACGGGUGCGUAACGCGUGGGAAUCUGCCCUUGGGUUCGGAAUAACAGUUAGAAAUGACUGCUAAUACCGGAUGAUGUCGUAAGACCAAAGAUUUAUCGCCCAAGGAUGAGCCCGCGUAGGAUUAGCUAGUUGGUGAGGUAAAGGCUCACCAAGGCGACGAUCCUUAGCUGGUCUGAGAGGAUGAUCAGCCACACUGGGACUGAGACACGGCCCAGACUCCUACGGGAGGCAGCAGUGGGGAAUAUUGGACAAUGGGCGAAAGCCUGAUCCAGCAAUGCCGCGUGAGUGAUGAAGGCCUUAGGGUUGUAAAGCUCUUUUACCCGGGAUGAUAAUGACAGUACCGGGAGAAUAAGCUCCGGCUAACUUCGUGCCAGCCGCCGCGGUAAAAC
rnacentral:rRNA from 1 species